GACCACUGCGGUGGCUUAGUGGUGAGAGCGUCAGACUCGGAUGCGGGAGGUUGCAAGAUCGAUCCCCGGCCGAGUCA